CCAAUUUUGGCCCAGGGUCCCCGGGGGAGGGGUCAUUUGCAUGGAGGGGUCCUCUGCUCUCCCAUGAGGGACAAGGUAAGAGAGAUUCUGUGUAGGUCCCCUGUGGGCUCAGAAGCAGAGCUGGGGCGUCUCCACCAUGGCCUGGACCCUUCUCCUCCUCGGCCUCCUCGCUCACUGCACAGGGCCCUGGGCGCAGUCCGGGCUGACGCAGGAAGGCUCCCUGUCAGGUUCUGUGGGACAGAAGGUCACCCUCUCCUGUACCGGAAACGGCAACAAUGUUGGAGCUAAUAUCGUGAACUGGUACCAACAGAUUUCUCACGGGGCCCCCAAAAUCACGAUGCUCACAGGUUCUCUGCCCUCAGGGAUCCCAGACCUGUUCUCUGGCUCCACGUCUGUCAACACGGCCUCUCUGACCAUCUCGGGGCUCCAGCCUGAGGACAAGGCUGAUUAUUACUGUUCAACGUGGGAUGACAGCAUCAGUGGGGUGUUUGGAGGAGGGAGCUCUGUCUCCCUCCUGACAGAGCUGGACACAGGGAGCAGGUGUCACAGAUAAGAACAAACACAGCUCCAUGCUGGAUCUGGUCCUUUAGCUCCAACG